UACGUAGGGUGCGAGCGUUGUCCGGAAUUACUGGGCGUAAAGAGCUCGUAGGUGGUUUGUCGCGUUGUUCGUGAAAACUCACAGCUCAACUGUGGGCGUGCGGGCGAUACGGGCAGACUGGAGUACUGCAGGGGAGACUGGAAUUCCUGGUGUAGCGGUGGAAUGCGCAGAUAUCAGGAGGAACACCGGUGGCGAAGGCGGGUCUCUGGGCAGUAACUGACACUGAGGAGCGAAAUCUAGCGGAGCAAACAGG
rnacentral:rRNA from 1 species